rnacentral:rRNA from 1 species
UGUAGCAGUGAAAUGCGUAGAUAUGUGGAGGAAUACCGAUGGCGAAGGCAGCCCCCUGGGAUAAUACUGACGCUCAGACACGAAAGCGUGGGGAGCAAACAGGAUUAGAUACCCUGGUAGUCCACGCCCUAAACGAUGUCAACUAGCUGUUGGGGCCGUUAGGCCUUAGUAGCGCAGCUAACGCGUGAAGUUGACCGCCUGGGGAGUACGGUCGCAAGAUUAAAACUCAAAGGAAUUGACGGGGACCCGCACAAGCGGUGGAUGAUGUGGAUUAAUUCGAUGCAACGCGAAAAACCUUACCUACCCUUGACAUGUCUGGAAUCCCGAAGAGAUUUGGGAGUGCUCGCAAGAGAACCGGAACACAGGUGCUGCAUGGCUGUCGUCAGCUCGUGUCGUGAGAUGUUGGGUUAAGUCCCGCAACGAGCGCAACCCUUGUCAUUAGUUGCUACGCAAGAGCACUCUAAUGAGACUGCCGGUGACAAACCGGAGGAAGGUGGGGAUGACGUCAAGUCCUCAUGGCCCUUAUGGGUAGGGCUUCACACGUCAUACAAUGGUCGGGACAGAGGGUCGCCAACCCGCGAGGGGGAGCCAAUCUCAGAAACCCGAUCGUAGUCCGGAUCGCAGUCUGCAACUCGACUGCGUGAAGUCGGAAUCGCUAGUAAUCGCGGAUCAGAAUGUCGCGGUGAAUACGUUCCCGGGUCUUGUACACACCGCCCGUCACACCAUGGGAGUGGGUUUCACCAGAAGUAGGUAGCCUAACCGUAAGGAGGGCGCUUACCACGGUGGGAUUCAUGACUGGGGUGAAGUCGUAACAAGGUAGCCGUAAAGUUUAAAGGGUUCGUAGGCGGUUUGUAAGUCAGUGGUGAAAUCUCCUAGCUUAACUAGGAAAUCGCCGUUGAUACUGUGAGACUUGAAUCAUUAGGAAGUAACUAGAAUAUGUAGUGUAGCGGUGAAAUGCUUAGAGAUUACAUGGAAUACCAAUUGCGAAGGCAGGUUACUACUAAUUGAUUGACGCUGAUGAACGAAAGCGUGGGUAGCGAACAGGAUUAGAUACCCUGGUAGUCCACGCCGUAAACGAUGGAUACUAGCUGUUCGGACUUCGGUCUGAGUGGCUAAGCGAAAGUGAUAAGUAUCCCACCUGGGGAGUACGUUCGCAAGAAUGAAACUCAAAGGAAUUGACGGGGGCCCGCACAAGCGGUGGAGCAUGUGGUUUAAUUCGAUGAUACGCGAGGAACCUUACCAGGGCUUAAAUGCAGAUUGACAGGUUUGGAAACAGACUUUUCUUCGGACAAUUUACAAGGUGCUGCAUGGUUGUCGUCAGCUCGUGCCGUGAGGUGUCAGGUUAAGUCCUAUAACGAGCGCAACCCCUAUUGUUAGUUGCCAGCGGGUCAUGCCGGGAACUCUAACAAGACUGCCGGUGCAAACCGAGAGGAAGGUGGGGAUGACGUCAAAUCAUCACGGCCCUUACGUCCUGGGCUACACACGUGCUACAAUGGCCGGUACAGUGAGCAGCCACCAUGCGAAUGGGAGCGAAUCUACAAAACCGGUCACAGUUCGG